AAUAAUUUUGCAUGGAACAUUAUUUCAUCAGAAUGAGGCGGGACUGUUAGGGUUAGUUGCUUCAAAGAAGUUUUUUCAAAAAGAUGACUAAUUCCAUUUGUCUGUUUUACAGGUGAAGAAAUGGAUACUUGCGAAGGGCAGGAACCUGCCCAAAAUCACAUGGAGUCUAGGAUGAGAAUGAUACAAGGAAUGCACAGCUUGCUGUCUGCCUGACAUAGAGCAUCUGGCAUGUUUGAGAGAAACAGACAACCUGGUGGGAAAACAGCAUCACUGCAGCUUAGGACAGCUGGGAGGGACCUGAAGCUCCACACCACCUCAGCCCCCUGCCCCAUUUUGCAGGUAAGAAAACAGAGGCCGCACAGAUCA
rnacentral:lncRNA from 1 species